rnacentral:rRNA from 1 species
AAUUAUUUCAAUUUUCUUUCACAAUACUAUUACACUAUAAUUAAAAUUAUUUUUUCAUUAUUCAUUACUAAAACAAAUCUUUUUAUAAUUAUUUUUAAUAAUUUAAAUUUUAAAAAAUAUAAAUUAAUAAAUAAAAUAUAAUCAAUUUAUAUUGAUUUGCACAAAAAUCUUUUCAAUGUAAAUGAAAUGCUUUACUUAAUAAGCUUUAAAUUGCAUUCUAGAUACACUUUCCAGUACAUCUACUAUGUUACGACUUAUCUUACCUUAGUAAUAAGAGUGACGGGCGAUGUGUGCAUAUUUUAGAGCUAAAAUCAAAUUAUUAAUCUUUAUAAUUUUACUAUCAAAUCCACUUUCAAUAAAUAUUUCAAAUUUAUAUCCAUAUAAAUAAUUUUAUUGUAACCCAUUUCUACUUAAAUAUAAGCUACACCUUGAUCUGAUAUAUUUUCUUUUUAAAAAUUAUGAAAAUUAACAUUCUUAUAAAAUAUUCUAAUAACGACGGUAUAUAAACUGAUUACAAAUUUAAGUGAGGUCCAUCGUGGAUUAUCGAUUAUAGAACAGGUUCCUCUGAAUAGACUAAAAUACCGCCAAAUUUU